UACGUAGGGUGCGAGCGUUAAUCGGAAUUACUGGGCGUAAAGCGUGCGCAGGCGGUUUGCUAAGACCGAUGUGAAAUCCCGGGCUUAACCCUGGGAACUGCAUUGGUGACUGGCAGGCUAGAGUAUGGCAGAGGGGGGUAGAAUUCCACGUGAUAGCAGUGAAAUGCGUGAGAGAGUGUGGAGGAAUACCGAUGGCGAAGGCAGCCCCCUGGGCCAAUACUGACGCU
rnacentral:rRNA from 1 species